GUGCAGCAGGCGAGAAAACUUUACAAUGUGCGAAAGCACGAUAAGGGAACUCUGAGUGCCUCCUACGGAGGCUGUUCAGGUGCCUAAAACACACCUGAAGGAAGGGCUGGGUAAGACCGGUGCCAGUCGCCGCGGUAACACCGGCAGCCCAAGUGGUAGCCACUUUUAUUGGGUCUAAAGCGUCCGUAGCCGGCCAGGUAAGUUCCGUGGGAAAUUUGGCCCGCUUAACGGUCAAACUACCAGGGAAUACUGCCUGGCUUGGGACUGGGAGAGGGCA
rnacentral:rRNA from 1 species